UACGUAGGGUGCGAGCGUUGUCCGGAAUUAUUGGCGUAAAGAGCUCGUAGGCGGUCUGUCGCGUCGGGAGUGAAAACUCGGGGCUUAACCCCGAGCCUGCUUCCGAUACGGGCAGACUAGAGGUAUGCAGGGGAGAAUGGAAUUCCUGGUGUAGCGGUGAAAUGCGCAGAUAUCAGGAGGAACACCGGUGGCGAAGGCGGUUCUCUGGGCAUUACCUGACGCUGAGGAGCGAAAGUGUGGGAGCGAACAGG
rnacentral:rRNA from 1 species